rnacentral:rRNA from 1 species
UUCUUGUAAAAAUUAUAUAUAUAAGUAAUGAAUAAUAGAUUUGAAAUAUUUAUUAUAUAGAUUUAAAGAAAUAAUCAUAGAAUACAUAAGUUAUUAAUAGUUACUAGGUUACUAAUAAAUAAUAAAUUUUAUUUUAAUACCUAAGGGAAACCUUCUUAUUAAAUAUACUAAGUGAACUGAAACAUCUAAGUAACUUAAGGAUAAAAAAUCAACCGAGAUAUUAUUAGUAUUGGUGAGAGAAAAUAAUAUAGUUAAUAUUUGUAAGUAUUAUGUAAUAUAAUUAUGUAAGAAUAUAGGACAAACUAGUUCUAAAACUAAAUACUAUUAAUAAACAAAAUAAGUACCGAAAGGGAAAGUAUGUAAAUGGUUAUUUUAUAAGUAAUCAUAGAUAUAAAAUUUAUAUUAAUGAUGUACCUUUUGUAUAAUGGGUCAGCAAGUAAUUAAUAUUAGCAAAAUUGUCAAAAUUACAAAAAAAUUGAAAAUAAGUUAAUAUUAAUUGACCCGAAAGCAAAUGAUCUUACUAUGACCAGACGGUAAAACGGUCGAACAGGUUGAUGUUGCAAUAUCAUCUGAUGAGUUGUGGUAAGUAGUGAAAGACAAAUCUGAUUUGCAGAUAGCUGGUUUUCUACGAAAUAUAUGUUAGUAUAGCUUUUAUAAUAAUAAUUAUUAUAAUAAAAUUUAUAAAGAACGGUACAGCAACAAAUAUAUUUAGGGGAACUAUUGUAGUUUUAUCAAAAAUAUUUGAUCUCGAAAUGUUUAAUUAUAAUUAUAAAAAGUCAGAUUAUGUGCGAUAAGGUAAAUAAUCUAAAGGGAAACAGCCCAGAUUAAUAUAUAAGGUUCCUAAUUAAUUAAUAAUAAGUGAAAUAAAUAUUAAAAUAUUAUAAUACAAUCAGUUAAUGGAUUUGACAAUAACCAUUUUUUAAUGAACAUGUAACAAUGCACUGAUCUAUAUAAAUAAUAAUAUUAUAAAUUAAAUAUAUAUAUAAUAUAUAUUUAUUAAUAAACAAUAUACGGAUCUUUAUUAAAAUAAAAAUUAUUUAACCGAAUAUUUAAAUAUUAUUAUUAAAUAAUAAUAAUAAUAAUAUGGUAGUAGAACAUUUAAUGAAAAAAUAUAUUAAUUUUUAAUUAAUAUAUAAAUAAAUAAAAAAUAUAUAAUAUAUUUUAUUAUUAUUAAUAAAAUAUUAAAAGUAAUUAAAUAGAGAAUGCUGACAUGAGUAACGAAAAAAAGGUUAAACCUUUUCACCUAAAACAUAAGGUUUUACUAUAAAAGUACGGCCCUUAAUUAAAUUAUAUAAAUAUAAUAUAUAAGAUAGGAUAAUUCUAAAUUAAAUUUAAUAUAUCUUUUAUUAUUUAUUUUAAAACUAUAAAAGAUCAAGAAAUAUGUUUAAUUUAUACCGUAAUGUAAACCGACUCAGGUAUGUUAGUAGAGAAUAUUAAGGUGAAUUAGAUAAUUAAAGGGAAGGAACUCGGCAAAAAUAGCUCUAACGUUAGUCAAUAAAGAGAUUUAAAAACAAAGUUGUACAACUGUUUAAUAAAAACACCGCACUUUGCAUAAACGAUAAGUUAACGUAUAAGGUGUGAACUCUGCUCCAUGCUUAACAUAUAAAUAAUAUUAUUUAAUGAUAAUAUUAUUAAAUUUAAGUAAAUAGCAGCCUUAUUAUGAGGGUUCUAAGGUAGCGAAAUUCAUUGUCCAAUAAUUAUGGUCCUGCAUGAAUGACGUAAUGAUACAACAACUGUCUCCCCUUUAAGCUAAGUGAAAUUAAAAUCGCAGUGAAGAUGCUGUGUACCUAUAGUGUGACGGAAAGACCCUAUGCAGCUUUACUGUAAUUAGAUAGAUCGAAUUAUUGUAUAUUAUAUUCAGAAUAUUAAGUAAUUGAUUAAAUAAAAAUGAGAUACUUAUUAUAAUAAUAUAAUAAUUCUAAUCUUAUAUAUAUAUAUUUAAUAGAUUUUAUUCUUAAAUAAAUUCCUAAAAGGAUAAUAUUAUAUAUUUUUAAUAUAUAAUAUAAUAAUAAUAAGAGACAAUCUCUAAUUGGUAGUUUUGAUGGGGCGUCAUUUUCAGCAAUAAUAUCUGAAUAAGUCUAUAUAUAUAUUAUAAUAUUAUUUAAAAUUCAAAAUAUAUAUUAUAUAUAUUAAUUAUAAAUAGAAAUAUAUUAUAUUUUAUAAUAUAUUUUAGUAAUAGAUAAAAUUAUGUAUAGUAAAAUUGUCUAGAAAACAAUAAUAAUAAUAUAUUUAUUAUAUUAUAUAAUAUAGUGUAUUAAAUUAAUAUAAUGGUUUAACUAUGCAACAAUUAUAACACAAACAAGUGAAAUAAGUACGUAAGUAUGGCAUAAUGAACAAAUAACACUGAUUGUAAUGGUUAUUGAUAACGAAUAAAAGUUACGCUAGGGAUAACAGGGUAAUAUAGCGAAAGAGUAGAUAUUGUAAGCUAUGUUUGCCACCUCGAUGUCGACUCUACCUAUCCUCUUGGUUGUAAAUGCUAAGAAGGGUUUGACUGUUCGUCAAUUAAAAGGUAACGUGAGUUGGGUUAAAUACGAUGUAAAUCAGUAUGGUUCCUAUCUACUAUAGGUAAUAUUAUCAACUUAAGUCUUAUUCUUAGUACGCAAGGAUCAGAAUGAAUUAAUCCAUGGUGUAUCUAUUGAUUAUUUUAUAAUAUAUAUAUAUUUAUAUAUAUAUAUUAUCUAUAUUAGUUUAUAUUUUAAUAUUAUUAUUAUUUAUUAUUUAAAUAAUAAUAAUUUAUUAUAGUCAUAGUAGAUAAGCUAAAUUAAUAAAUAAUAAGUAUUGAAAGCAUAUAAAAUACGAAGUUGUCUUAAGAUGAGAUAAUAAUCUGAUUAUUUUAUACUAAAAUAUAUAUAGGUUUUUUAUAUAUCUAUAUAAAAAAAUACUAAUUUAUCAGUUAUCUAUAUAAUAUCUAAUCUAUUAUUC